rnacentral:rRNA from 1 species
UGCUGACUAGUGGCGAACGGGUGAGUAAUACAUCGGAACGUGCCUAGUAAUGGGGGAUAACUACUCGAAAGAGUAGCUAAUACCGCAUGAGAUCUACGGAUGAAAGCAGGGGACCUUCGGGCCUUGUGCUACUAGAGCGGCUGAUGGCACAUUAUGUAGUUGGUGGGGUAAAGGCUUACCAAGCCUGCGAUCUGUAGCUGGUCUGAUAGGACGACCAGCCACACUGGGACUGAGACACGGCCCAGACUCCUACAGGAGGCAGCAGUGGGGAAUUUUGGACAAUGGGCGAAAGCCUGAUCCACCAAUGCCGCGUGCAGGAUGAAGGCCCUCGGGUUGUAAACUGCUUUUGUACGGAACGAAAAGCCUGGGGCUAAUAUCCCCGGGUCAUGACGGUACCGUAAGAAUAAGCACCGGCUAACUACGUGCCAUCAGCCGCGGUAAUACGUAAGGUGCAAGCGUUAAUCGGAAUUACUGGGCGUAAAGCGUGCGCAGGCGGUUUUGUAAGACAGUGGUGAAAUCCCCGGGCUCAACCUGGGAACUGCCAUUGUGACUGCAAGGCUAGAGUGCGGCAGAGGGGGAUGGAAUUCCGCGUGUACCAGUGAAAUGCGUAGAUAUGCGGAGGAACACCGAUGG